GGUAGGAUAGCUGGGUCAAAUGGUAUCUCCAAUCCAAGUUUUCUGAGGAAUCUCUACACUGCUUUCCAGAGUAGUUGUACCAAUUUGCUGUCCCACCAGCAAU
rnacentral:pre_miRNA from 1 species